rnacentral:misc_RNA from 1 species
AAGUAUUUUAUGGUUGGGUUCUGGUUCCAGUUCCGUGUUUCCACCGUACAAACGCUCACCCCAACCUGACUCGAACCCGAUUCGAACCCGCGAUGGAAACUUAGUCAUAGAUUGAACAGUCUGAUUGAUGAAUUAAUUUGUCAGUAGAUUCAGAUUCUAAACUCAACAAACGUAGGUGUCAUAUGUCUGUGGUCCUUGAAGAUGCGACUGCAAAGCAAGAGAGUGGUAGGGUAAGAGAUUGUACAUGGCGAGUGUUUGAUCAGAUAUUCGAGGACAAACUCGGAGGAGGAGACUACAGGCGGUUCGGCGAAUACCAUAGAGAGAACAAGUUUUCAUCGUUUGUCAUAUUCGAAGAUUUAGUUUGAAAGAAUUGACGUUUGCAGCUUUGUACAGGCCCACAAAUCAGACGUAGAUCUACAAUGAUAAAAAAUAAGAAAAUGUGUAUCGAUGGAUUAUGAAAUCUGAUGGAACACAUGUAUUGUAUAGAUUGAGGUAGACCUCAACGCAGGAUG